rnacentral:rRNA from 1 species
AACGAACGCUGGCGGCAGGCUUAACACAUGCAAGUCGAGCGCCCCGCAAGGGGAGCGGCAGACGGGUGAGUAACGCGUGGGAACGUACCUUUUGGUUCGGAACAACUCCGGGAAACUGGAGCUAAUACCGGAUAAGCCCUAACGGGGAAAGAUUUAUCGCCGAAAGAUCGGCCCGCGUCUGAUUAGCUAGUUGGUGAGGUAACGGCUCACCAAGGCGACGAUCAGUAGCUGGUCUGAGAGGAUGAUCAGCCACACUGGGACUGAGACACGGCCCAGACUCCUAUGGGAGGCAGCAGUGGGGAAUAUUGGACAAUGGGCGCAAGCCUGAUCCAGCCAUGCCGCGUGAGUGAUGAAGGCCUUAGGGUUGUAAAGCUCUUUUGUCCGGGAAGAUAAUGACUGUACCGGAAGAAUAAGCCCCGGCUAACUUCGUG